rnacentral:rRNA from 1 species
AGUGAACGCUGGCGGCGUGCUUAACACAUGCAAGUCGAACGGUAACAGGUAGAAGCUUGCUUCUAUGCUGACGAGUGGCGGACGGGUGAGUAAUGUAUAGUUAAUCUGCCCUUUAGAGGGGGAUAACAGUUGGAAACGACUGCUAAUACCCCAUACUCCUUUCUACUUAAUGUAGAUUGGGAAAUGUUUUUUCGCUAAAGGAUGAGACUAUAUGGUAUCAGCUAGUUGGUGAGGUAAGAGCUCACCAAGGCAAUGACACCUAGCUGGUCUGAGAGGAUGAUCAGCCACACUGGAACUGAGACACGGUCCAGACUCCUACGGGAGGCAGCAGUGGGGAAUAUUGCACAAUGGAGGAAACUCUGAUGCAGCAACGCCGCGUGGAGGA